rnacentral:rRNA from 1 species
UACGAAGGUGGCAAGCGUUGUUCGGAAUCACUGGGCUUAAAGAGCACGUAGGCGGCCUCAUAAGCGCUUUGUGAAAUCCCUCGGCUCAACCGGGGAAUUGCUGGGCGAACUGUGAGGCUUGAGGCAAGUAGGGGUGCAUGGAACUCUUGGUGGAGCGGUGAAAUGCGUAGAUAUCAAGAGGAACGCCGGUGGCGAAAGCGGUGCACUGGGCUUGUCCUGACGCUGAGGUGCGAAAGCUAGGGGAGCAAACGGG